AGGGAGUCUGAGAAGAGGAAAGGGAGCUGAGGUGGGAGGAGGACGCCAUUGCAGCCGCAGCUGGCUGUAUGUGUUCGGGCUGAGGGGGGACAAACGUUACCGAGCGUUACAACUGGGAGAAACAUUGUGGACUUUUUCAGGGCCGAGACAACUAUCGCUGUGUUUUAAUGUGGAAACAAACGCCAAGGAUGGGCGGUUUGCUUCGUGAACGGAGAAAAUGUGGAGUCAGAGCAGCGCAGCGAAGCAGGUAAAGUGGGUUAGUGUAGUUUGGUGUGUUUACGGGGACAAUGGGAGAAAGUUUCGGCUAACCUCAGCUAACUAACGGGAGUUGUUUCAGCUAGCGUUACUGCUAGUUGUGGUACUCACAGUGAAGAUUUUUUAUCAAAGUUUAUCGCUGUAAAGGGCUUUAAAGAAUUCUUACAUACAUCAUUCAUUUGCUCAUACAGUCACACCUUGGUGGUGGUAAACUGCCUUAGUAGUCACAGCUGACCUACCUGUGGCAGACUGACGGAAACAUGGCUGCCAGUUUGCGCCUCUGUGACUCUCACCCACCCAAAAACUCAAGGCAGAUUGUUCAGCAUUAUAGUAUAUUAGGGAAGCGUUAUUAUCUAGCCAAUAGAAGUAG
rnacentral:lncRNA from 1 species